UACGUAGGGUGCGAGCGUUAAUCGGAAUUACUGGGCGUAAAGGGUGCGCAGGCGGUCCUGCAAGUCAGGCGUGAAAUCCCCGGGCUUAACCUGGGAAUGGCACUUGAAACUACGGGACUGGAGUAUGGCAGAGGGAGGUGGAAUUCCACGUGUAGCGGUGAAAUGCGUAGAGAUGUGGAGGAACACCGAUGGCGAAGGCAGCCUCCUGGGCCAAUACUGACGCUCAUGCACGAAAGCGUGGGGAG
rnacentral:rRNA from 1 species